GUAGGUGAACCUGCGGAAGGAUCAUUACAAAUCCACGUCUCUCUUUUGAGACUCGUUGAAACGUUUGAGGGAACAGAAUCAGGUGCCUUAAACAGCAUCCUGACUCUCUCCCUCUAAAAAACCUUGAGAAAUGUUGAACAGCUGUAUUAAAUUAAAUUUUAAACAACUUAUAACAAUGGAUCUCUAGGCUCUUGCAUCGAUGAAGAACGCAGCAUCUGACUGACUGGAAGCUUGUCUAUCUCGUAUGCCG
rnacentral:misc_RNA from 1 species